GAUGAACGCUGGCGGCGUGCCUAAUACAUGCAAGUCGAGCGAACAGACGAGGAGCUUGCUCCUCUGACGUUAGCGGCGGACGGGUGAGUAACACGUGGAUAACCUACCUAUAAGACUGGGAUAACUUCGGGAAACCGGAGCUAAUACCGGAUAAUAUAUUGAACCGCAUGGUUCAAUAGUGAAAGACGGUUUUGCUGUCACUUAUAGAUGGAUCCGCGCCGCAUUAGCUAGUUGGUAAGGUAACGGCUUACCAAGGCGACGAUGCGUAGCCGACCUGAGAGGGUGAUCGGCCACACUGGAACUGAGACACGAUCCAGACUCCUACGGGAGGCAGCAGUAGGGAAUCUUCCGCAAUGGGCGAAAGCCUGACGGAGCAACGCCGCGUGAGUGAUGAAGGUCUUCGGAUCGUAAAACUCUGUUAUUAGGGAAGAACAAAUGUGUAAGUAACUAUGCACGUCUUGACGGUACCUAAUCAGAAAGCCACGGCUAACUACGUGC
rnacentral:rRNA from 1 species